rnacentral:tRNA from 1 species
GGCGGGUUCGUCUAUCGGUUAGGACAGAGCGUUCUCAUCGCCCAAAGAAGGGUUCGAUUCCCUUACCCGCUGCCA